UACGGAGGUGGCAAGCGUUGUUCGGAAUUACUGGGCGUAAAGCGCGUGUAGGCGGUCCGGUAAGUCCGCUGUGAAAGUCGGGGGCUCAACCCUCGGAUGCCGGUGGAUACUGUCGGGCUUGAGUACGGAAGAGGCGAGUGGAAUUCCUGGUGUAGCGGUGAAAUGCGCAGAUAUCAGGAGGAACACCAAUUGCGAAGGCAGCUCGCUGGGACGUGACUGACGCUGAGACGCGAAAGCGUGGGGAGCAAACAGG
rnacentral:rRNA from 1 species